CCUACGGGAGGCAGCAGUGGGGAAUAUUGCACAAUGGGCGGAAGCCUGAUGCAGCGACGCCGCGUGAGGGAUGACGGCCUUCGGGUUGUAAACCUCUUUCAGUAGGGAAGAAGCGAAAGUGACGGUACCUGCAGAAGAAGCGCCGGCUAACUACGUGCCAGCAGCCGCGGUAAUACGUAGGGCGCAAGCGUUAUCCGGAAUUAUUGGGCGUAAAGAGCUCGUAGGCGGUUUGUCGCGUCUGCCGUGAAAGUCCGGGGCUCAACUCCGGAUCUGCGGUGGGUACGGGCAGACUAGAGUGAUGUAGGGGAGACUGGAAUUCCUGGUGUAGCGGUGAAAUGCGCAGAUAUCAGGAGGAACACCGAUGGCGAAGGCAGGUCUCUGGGCAUUAACUGACGCUGAGGAGCGAAAGCAUGGGGAGCGAACAGGAUUAGAUACCCUGGUAGUCCAUGCCGUAAACGUUGGGCACUAGGUGUGGGGGACAUUCCACGUUUUCCGCGCCGUAGCUAACGCAUUAAGUGCCCCGCCUGGGGAGACGCCGCGAGACGAACUACAANAGAAGUAGACGCGUGAGACGUGCCGACGACGACGACGAGGGAGAGG
rnacentral:rRNA from 1 species